UCCCGUGUGGCUCAGUUGGUAGAGCAUGGUGUUUGCAACUCCAGGGUUGUGAGUUCGAUUCCCACGGGGG
rnacentral:tRNA from 1 species